rnacentral:rRNA from 1 species
AUGCGCGUGCCUGGCUCGUGGAGACUGAGCGCCGGCGGCGUCCCGGUGCCGCCGGUGCCCGAAGGGGCAGCACGACGGGCGGAGAUCGCCCGCGUCCGCUCCUCGUUGACGGAGGAGCAGCGGAACGAGCCGAGGUACGCGCCCGACAGCGAAACGCUGUGGACGCUGUAUUUCCAGCGCCGCCGCGAGGAGCAGAUCGCCUCCGUCAAUGGCAUCAUCCCCCGCGGCCGCCAUAACUCCGAAGGACGGCGCGAGUGGUGGGGCGUCCCCGGCCGCACCCUCGACGCCGUCCUCGACCACAUCGAGACCGGCAAUGUGCCGCGGCUGGAGUACCCGACGCGGCCCUCCUUCUCUCGUCGGCGCGGCAGUUCCUGGAUCCCGCGACGAAUGGAGCCGGGGUCGUCCUCGUCGUCGGGCUCCGGCUCGCCGGCCCUCCGCCCCGUCAAGCCCGAGCCGGAGGAGACACCGCUCGGGCGUCGUGCUCGCAGCGGCGCCCUCGUCAUCAACGAGCCCUCGCCUGCGACUGCACCGACGAGGCGCUCCCUCCGCCUGGUCCGGCCGAAGCCCGAGCCGGACAUGCUCCCCGUGAAGCCGGAGCACGCCGGCAUGGUGGCCCCCGACGACGAGUCCGCCCUCAAAUGGGCGAAGGAGGACUACGUCCGCGAGCAGGUGCGCCGCCAGCGUCGGGCAUAUCUGGAGACCCAGGCCCGUAGCUGCGCCGAGGCGCGUCGCCGUGUCGCCGAGGUGGGCGGCGUUAUCAUCAUCGACAGCGACGACGAGGGCGAGGCCGGGCCGUCAAGCGCUGUCGGCGACCCCGGCGAGGGAUGCAGCAGGGACGCCGCAGGUGAGGCGCGCCGCGACGACGACGACGGCAGCGGCGACUACACCCGCUUCUACAGGCUUCUCGGCAUGUAG